rnacentral:rRNA from 1 species
AGAGUUUGAUCCUGGCUCAGGACGAACGCUGGCGGCGUGCCUAAUACAUGCAAGUAGAACGCUGAAGAGAGGAGCUUGCUCUUCUUGGAUGAGUUGCGAACGGGUGAGUAACGCGUAGGUAACCUGCCUUGUAGCGGGGGAUAACUAUUGGAAACGAUAGCUAAUACCGCAUAACAAUGGAUGACUCAUGUCAUUUAUUUGAAAGGGGCAAUUGCUCCACUACAAGAUGGACCUGCGUUGUAUUAGCUAGUAGGUGAGGUAACGGCUCACCUAGGCGACGAUACAUAGCCGACCUGAGAGGGUGAUCGGCCACACUGGGACUGAGACACGGCCCAGACUCCUACGGGAGGCAGCAGUAGGGAAUCUUCGGCAAUGGGGGCAACCCUGACCGAGCAACGCCGCGUGAGUGAAGAAGGUUUUCGGAUCGUAAAGCUCUGUUGUAAGUCAAGAACGAGUGUGAGAGUGGAAAGUUCACACUGUGACGGUAGCUUACCAGAAAGGGACGGCUAACUACGUGCCAGCAGCCGCGGUAAUACGUAGGUCCCGAGCGUUGUCCGGAUUUAUUGGGCGUAAAGCGAGCGCAGGCGGUUUGAUAAGUCUGAAGUUAAAGGCUGUGGCUCAACCAUAGUUCGCUUUGGAAACUGUCAAACUUGAGUGCAGAAGGGGAGAGUGGAAUUCCAUGUGUAGCGGUGAAAUGCGUAGAUAUAUGGAGGAACACCGGUGGCGAAAGCGGCUCUCUGGUCUGUAACUGACGCUGAGGCUCGAAAGCGUGGGGAGCGAACAGGAUUAGAUACCCUGGUAGUCCACGCCGUAAACGAUGAGUGCUAGGUGUUGGAUCCUUUCCGGGAUUCAGUGCCGCAGCUAACGCAUUAAGCACUCCGCCUGGGGAGUACGACCGCAAGGUUGAAACUCAAAGGAAUUGACGGGGGCCCG